UCAGUAUCCCAGCAUGCACCGCGGCAGCAGUCACAUGUUCGAAAACAUGGAGGAAAAAGCCGGUCCCGAGAGCGGAGAAAAACAUCCUCCUGUAUGAGGACGCGACACACUGCAGGGGCCACAGAACUGUUGGCUGACAAGAUGCUUGUGAUUCAUAAAAUGGGUCAAAUGCAGAUGACAAAGUAAAGCCAACACUGAGCUGGAGGUGCUGACCCAGACUCCUGCCAACGAUCAGGUUUUCACUCUGCAGGACAGAACUUUGAAUCAAUCAGACGCAACAACCAACCUGCUCUCUCCUCCAGAAGACGAGAGACA